rnacentral:rRNA from 1 species
GCAUAUCAAUAAGCGGAGGAAAAGAAMCUAACAAGGAUUCCCCUAGUAACGGCGAGUGAAGCGGGAAGAGCUCAAAUUUGAAAUCUUAAAGGGUUUCCCUUUACGAAUUGUAGUUUAAAGAAGUGUUUUCUGUUGAGGUUUUGGUAGAAGUUCUUUGGAAUAGGACAUCAUAGAGGGUGAGAAUCCCGUAUUUGACCUUUACUUUCAACUUUGUGAUACACUUUCAAAGAGUCGGAUUGUUUGGGAAUGCGGUCCAAAAUGGGUGGUAAAUUUCAUCUAAAGCUAAAUAUUGGCGAGAGACCGAUAGCGAACAAGUACCGUGAGGGAAAGAUGAAAAGAACUUUGAAAAGAGAGUUAAACAGUACGUGAAAUUGUCAAAAGGGAAGCGUUUGACACCAGUGUUGUUUUUCUGAAAAUCAAUUAAAGAACUGUUUAUGCUAAGUUGUUUAGACUUUAUCAGCUAACUGUUUAGUUUUGAGCUUUUCUUUAAUGCACUUUUCAGUUAACAAGUCAACAUCAAUUUCUUUUGCUGUAAAAAAGCUUGAGGAAGGUGGCUUGAGAUUCGUCUUAAGUGUUUAUAGCCUCUUGCCUAUGCAGUCGGAGAGAUUGAGGUCUGCAGCGUAGAUCCUUCGGGGCUAAAUGCAUUUGUGCUAAGUUAUAACAUUUUAUAGACAACUUGUUGACUAUGAUUUGUCUUGUAGCUUACUCGCUUAUGUUAUUUUACCUACGCUUAGGAUGUUGACAAAAUGGUUUUAAACGACCCGUCUUGAAACACGGACC